rnacentral:tRNA from 1 species
GGGGAUAUGACUCAGUUGGUAGAGUGCUUGUUUAGCAUGCACAAGCACAAGUCCCUGGGUUCAAUCCCCAGCACCACCA